GGUGGCUCAAUGGUAGAGUGCUUGCCUUGCAUGCAUGAGACCCUGGGUUCGAUUCCUCAGUACCA
rnacentral:tRNA from 1 species